GACAGAUCGAUAGAUAGAAAGAAAGAUAAAUAGAUAAAUAGAUAGACAAACAGACAGACCGAUAGUCAGAAAGAAAGAUAUAUAGAUAGACAGACAGAUUGACAGACAGACAGAUAAAUAGAUAGACAGACAUAUCGAUAGAUAGAUAAAUAGAUAGACAGAAAGACAAAUAAAUAGAUAGACAGACAGGUUGAUAGACAGACAGACAAAUAGAUAGACAGACAGACAGAUCGAUCGAUAGAUAGAUAGAUCAAUAGACAGACAGAUUUAUAGACAGACAGACAUAUCGAUAGAUAGACAGAUUACUAGACAGACAUAUUGAUAGACAGACAGACAUGUCGAUAGAUAGCCAGACAGAUUGAUAGACAGAAAGACAAAUAAACAGAGAGACAGAUAGGUUGAUAGACAUACAGACAGAUAAAUAGACAGACAGACAUAUUGAUAGAUAGACAGACAAAUUGAUAGACAGACAGACAUAUCGAUAGACAGACAGACAGAUUGAUAGAGAGAAAGACAGAUAAAUAGAUAGACAGGUUGAUAGACAGACAGACAUAUCGAUAGACAGACAGACAGACAGACAAAUAGAAAGACAGA